GACGAACCGUGCGAACGUUAUUCGGAAUCACUGGGCUUAAAGGGCGCGUAGGCGGGCGGCCAAGUCAGGGGUGAAAGCCCCAGCUCAACUGGGGAAGUGCCUUUGAUACUGGUUGUCUCGAGGGAGGUAGGGGCGUGCGGAACUUCCGGUGGAGCGGUGAAAUGCGUAGAUAUCGGAAGGAACGCCGGUGGCGAAAGCGGCGCGCUGGACCUCUUCUGACGCUGAGGCGCGAAAGCUAGGGGAGCAAACGGG
rnacentral:rRNA from 1 species